rnacentral:rRNA from 1 species
GACGAACGCUGGCGGCGUGCCUAAUACAUGCAAGUCGAGCGGAGCUUAUCCUUCGGGGUAAGCUUAGCGGCGGACGGGUGAGUAACACGUAGGCAACCUGCCCCUUAGCCUGGGAUAACUACCGGAAACGGUAGCUAAUACCGGAUAAUCCCUUUCCUCGCCUGAGGAAAGGAUAAAAGGCGGAGCAAUCUGCUGAUAAGGGAUGGGCCUGCGGCGCAUUAGCUAGUUGGUGAGGUAACGGCUCACCAAGGCGACGAUGCGUAGCCGACCUGAGAGGGUGAACGGCCACACUGGGACUGAGACACGGCCCAGACCCCUACGGGAGGCAGCAGUAGGGAAUCUUCCGCAAUGGGCGAAAGCCUGACGGAGCAACGCCGCGUGAGUGAUGAAGGUUUUCGGAUCGUAAAGCUCUGUUGCCCAGGGAAAGAAACGUCCCGGUAGAGUAAACUGCUAACCGGAAGUGACCGG